GACGAACGCUGGCGGCGUGCUUAACACAUGCAAGUCGAACGGAAAGGCCCUGCUUUUGUGGGGUGCUCGAGUGGCGAACGGGUGAGUAACACGUGAGUAACCUGCCCUUGACUUUGGGAUAACUUCAGGAAACUGGGGCUAAUACCGGAUAGGAGCUCCUGCUGCAUGGGGGGGGUUGGAAAGGUUCUGAGGUUGGGGAUGGACUCGCGGCUUAUCAGCUUGUUGGUGGGGUAGGGGGUUACCGAGGCUUUGACGGGUAGCCGGCCUGAGAGGGUGACCGGCCACAUUGGGACUGAGAUACGGCCCAGACUCCUACGGGAGGCAGCAGUGGGGAAUAUUGCACUAUGGGCGGAAGCCUGAUGCAGCAACGCCGCGUGCGGGAUGACGGCCUUCGGGUUGUAAACCGCUUUCGCCUGUGACGAAGCGUGAGUGACGGUAAUGGGUAAAGAAGCACCGGCUAACUACGUG
rnacentral:rRNA from 1 species